rnacentral:rRNA from 1 species
CUACUUGCCUAAAUACUAUUAAUGCGUCAGAUCCCAUCUGAUCUUAAAAGCUAAGGAGAGUGAGCCCUGGUUAAUAUUUGGAAGGGAAACUGCAAAAUAAUACCAGGUGUUAAGGGCU